rnacentral:tRNA from 1 species
GAGGGCAUAGCUCAGUGGUAGAGUGCAUGCCUAGCAUACAUGAGGUCCUGGGUUCAAUCCCCAAUCUCC